AACGAACGCUGGCGGCAUGCCUAACACAUGCAAGUCGAACGAUUGCCUUCGGGUGAUAGUGGCGCACGGGUGCGUAACGCGUGGGAAUCCUCCCGUAGGUUCGGAAUAACAGCUGGAAACGGCUGCUAAUACCGGAUGAUUACGCGAGUUCAAAGAUUUAUCGCCUGAGGAUGAGCCCGCGUUGGAUUAGGUAGUUGGUGGGGUAAAGGCCUACCAAGCCGACGAUCCCUAGCUGGUCUGAGAGGAUGAUCAGCCACACUGGGACUGAGACACGGCCCAGACUCCUACGGGAGGCAGCAGUGGGGAAUAUUGGACAAUGGGCGCAAGCCUGAUCCAGCAAUGCCGCGUGAGUGAUGAAGGCCCUAGGGUUGUAAAGCUCUUUUACCCGGGAAGAUAAUGACUGUACCGGGAGAAUAAGCCCCGGCUAACUCCGUG
rnacentral:rRNA from 1 species